UAUAAAAUAAUUAUUAAAUAAUCCUUAUUUUUACAAACAUACCUUUUUACUAAAUUUUCAAAAAUGGGUGUAAUAUCCCCCACUUUUAAAAAUGUAUUAAUAAGGAUUUAUAUGUAAAUUGGGGGACCUAUAUGUAAAUAGAGAAAUUACAAGGACUAAACUGCUAAGUUGCAAAAAGAAAAAAAAAAAGAAAAGGAAAAACCGAAAAUUCGGUAUUAUCCCACCGCCUCCCACGCACUCUGUUUCUUUCCAGAAGAUGGAGAGUGGUUGAAGAAAAGAAGAAGAAGAGGGAAAAGAAGAGAGGAGGAAGAAGAGAGGAAGUAGAGAAGAAGAUGAAGAAGAAGAAGAAGAGGAGGUGGCUGCAGCGAGGGCUGCAGCGAGAAGCUGUGGGGCGUGGGGAGAAGAAGAGAGGAAGAAGAGGGAGAAGAGAAGAAGAAGAAGAAGAAGCAGAAGAAGAAGAAGAAGAAGAAGAGAGGAUGAUAGCUGCGGCAAGGCUGCAGCGAGGAGGUGUGUGGGGUUGGGGAGGAAAAGGGAAGAGGAGAAGAAAAGAAGGAGAAGAAGAGGGAAAAGAGAGGGAAGAGGGAGAGGAGCGAGAGGUGGCAGCAGCUAGGGCUGCAGCACCUCUGUUUCCUGCAGGUGGAAACAGAGGAGAGGUGGGGCGUUCGAAGAGGAGAAGAAGAAGAAGAAGGAAGAGAAGAGGAAGAGGAAGCAGGAGAAGAGGUUGUGAUACCUCUGUUUCCUGCAGAGGAAACAGAGGAGAGGGUGUGUGUGACGUCGGGGAGAAGAAGGGGAGGAAGAAGAAGAAGAGAAGAAGAAGAAAGGAAGGAGAGGAAGAAGAGAAGGGAAAGGAGGAGCUGCGGCUGCGGCGGUGGCAGCUGCAGCUGGAAGAGAAGGAGAGGAAGAGAUGGUGAGGAAGAAGAGAAGAAGUAGAAGCGGGUGAAGAGGCGGCACCUCUGUUUCCUGCAGGAGGAAACAGAGGAAAGGAGGUGCUGUUCGUCGGGGAGAAGAAGGGGGCUGCAGCUGCGGCGAUGGCAGCUGCAGCUGGAAGAGAAGAAGAAGAGGAAGAUGAGCAGGGGAGGAGGGAGAGGUUGCGGCCGUGGCUGCGGCCGCGACUGCAGCAGUUGCAGCGGGGAGAGAAGAAGAAGAAAGGAAGGAGAAGGAAGAGGAGAAGGGAAAGAAGUAGCUGCGGCUGCGGUUGUGGCAGCUGCAGCUGUGGCAGGGAAAGAGGAAGAGAAAAAGGAAAGGAAGAAGAAGAGAAAGGGAAGGAGAGGAAGAAGAGAGGAAGAGGAGAAGGGGCUGCGGCUGCGGCGAUGGCAGCUGCAGCUGUGGCUGGGAAAGAAGAGAAGGAAAGGAAGAAGAAGAGAAAGGGAAGGAGAGGAAGAAGAGAGGAAGAGGAGAAGGGGUGGCAGCUGCGGCAGUGGCAGCUGCAGCUGGAAGAGGAGGAGGAAAUAGAGCAGGGGAGGAAGAAGAGGCUGCGAGUGUGGUGGCUGCGGCCGUGGCUGCGACUCCGGCUGCGGCUGCGACGUUGGCUGCGGUAGCUGCGGCAGCGGUGGUGGCUGCAGUAGCUGCAGUAGCUGCUUUUGGGAAAGAGAAAGAGUAGGAACGAGAGAAGGGAAGAAGGAAAUAGUGUAGUGGAAGGGGGCUGCGGUUGUGACCGCAGUUGCGAUUGUGGCAGCGGCAGCGGCGGCGGCUGUGGCAGCUGCGUUUGGGAAAGAAAAAGAAGGAAUGAGAGUAAGAGAGAGAGCAGGUGACUGUGCCUCGAUGUUCGACACGUGAUGUAGUUACGAAGAAAGGAAGAAAACGGGAGCACAAAACGAAACAGAGAGAGGACACGGAGGAAAAGUAGAAAGAUUGGACUGGCACCUUCCUUGGAUAUUCAGAUCAAAAUAUUUGAAAGGUCAGCUUGUCACUCUUCGAGAUGUUUGAUUUGGGCUGAGGCAGUGGAUAGCUAUUCAGAAUAAUGGGCAAGUCUGGUUGGUUAUUACGAUAUUGUUGUAUAAGUAUGUCUUGUAUAUAAUGAAAUGUUGUCGAUGAACCGAAAUAGAUAUACUGUGUCCAAGUGUUAGGAGAUCUCUCUUAUUUGGAAUUUCAGAAUGUUAAGUCUAAUUUAUGGUGAUAUGAACUUGUGGUGAAUAGUUGGAGUUCUGAUUGUAUAAUUUAUUUAGCUUGUGGAUUUAUAAAUGUUGUUCAUGUUUGUCAA